rnacentral:rRNA from 1 species
GCCCUCAGGGGCACAAUUUAAAAAAAACUUUUAUCGUGAGUUAAAGUUUUGUGAUUAUUUUAUCAAAAAAUUGAUAUAUAUAUGAGAUGAGUAUUUUUAAAAAGUUUAAUUAAGAUUAUAGUGAAAAAGUAUAGUACUAGAAAAUGAGUCUUUUAGAUAAAGUAAAAAUUAAUUUUUGUACCUUUUGUAUCAGGGUUAAACAAAAUUAUCAAGUUAUUUUGCAAUCCCGAAAAAAGAGAGUUAACGUUAAUAUUAUCUUUACGUAGUAAAGUGAUUUAAAAUUAAUCGUUAGUGAUGAAACGUCAGUCGUUCUUUGUAUAUCUGGUUUUUUACGACUAAAAUUUAAUUUUGUAUUAAAUUAAAAUUAAAUUUAAAAUUAAUAACAGGAGGUAAAAGCUUCUUGUUACUACAUUAUUAGAAUACAUUUUUAUAAAUAUUAAAAUAGGCUUAAAACAGUCAUUUUAUUAUAACGUUAAAGUAAAAUUAAGUUAAAACUUAAAUUUAUAAUUUCUAUUUCGGUUAGUAAAGAAUAUUAUUUAAUUAUAUUAUUUUAGUUAUAAUGUUUAUAUAAGUAUAGUUGUAGUAUAAUUUAAUAUUAAAUUAAAAUAAUAUUUUUAAUAGAUUUUAGUUAUAAAAAAGGAAUUCGGCAAAAGUUAUCUUCACCUGUUUAUCAAAAACAUGUCUAUAUGAUCUUAAAAAUAAAGUCUAACCUGCCCACUGAGUAUUUAAAUGGCCGCGGUAAUUUGACCGUGCAAAGGUAGCAUAAUCAAUAGUCUUUUAAUUGGAGGCUUGAAUGAAUGGUUGGAUGAAAGAUAAUCUGUCUUUUUUGUAUUUUAGAAUUUAACUUUUAAGUGAAAAGGCUUAAAUUAUCUAAGGGGACGAUAAGACCCUAUAAAACUUUAUAUAAAUUAAGAAUUAUUGUGAAUUGGACUUAAAUAUUUUAAUGCUUAAUUUAUAUUUCGUUGGGGAGACGCUGAUAUAAUUUGUAACUGUCAGUUAAAUAAAAUAUUUAUAAUUAGUAAAUUGAUCUUUCAAUGAGAAUUUAAGAGAAGUUACUUUAGGGAUAACAGCGUAAUUGUCCUUACGAGUUCUUAUUAACAGGAGUAGUUGCGACCUCGAUGUUGAAUUAAAAUGUUAAUUAGGUGUAGCCGCUUAAUUUGUAGGUCUGUUCGACCUUUAAAAUUUUACAUGAUUUGAGUUCAAACCGGUGUGAGCCAGGUUGGUUUCUAUCUUUUAGUAUAUUUGAUAAAACUUUAGUACGAAAGGAUUGAGUUUUAAAGAAAUUCUUUAUAAAAGAUUAAGAAUAAUAUG